AUGACUGGCCCUAAGAGAGGCAUCACAAUGACCAGCCCUGUUCUAGUUGAGUAUGACAUGAGGAUCAAGGAAGGGGAGCAAGAAGAAUAUGAUCUACAAUUAAUUGAUGGUGCAACAGACUUCUGCGAAGUAACCACACCUUCUCAUCCAUUCACGAGUCAGAUUAAUGGCGAUUGUGGUGCAGUUGACAUCACUUUAGCACACGUCGUCAAUGCAGUGGAGGCCACAAUAGAUGUUAUUGUAUCAGAAGUGCGGAGUGGAUUCAAUUUAUCUCUCGGUUCGUAUGUGUUUGUAGGUGGGUCAUAUCAAGGAAUCGAGCUCCUGCGUGAUAUUAUUGGUGAGUCAUGUGUCAUAACAAGAAGAUAUGUGAUUGCCGUAGAGAUGGAUAGUUGGAUGCACUUGAAGCUCAUGGUAGGCCGGGAAGGUUCAAAAUACGAUGAUUUGGAACGUCAUUGUCGCUUCAAAGCAAACCUCCAUGGAUAUGCACAUCGACAAAUACUGCUUGAGCAUGCCUCUAUCUCGCUAAAGAACGCUGGGCAGGUUGUGAAACUCUGA
rnacentral:rRNA from 1 species